rnacentral:lncRNA from 1 species
AUGAAUUAGACAGGAUAUAUCACAGAGAAUAGACAGACAAAUCUUUAUCCCCACAUAUGAAAAGCAACAAAUAACCAGAAUGAAACCUAAAAGAGGCAUGCACUGUGCUUUCGAAUCUUCCAGCAGUCUUACUCUCAUGACACUAGACCCACGGUAUAAGUGUAGAUGCAGCAGGACACUUCAAUGUCUAUGCACUGAUCAUUCUGCUUAAAGUCCAAUCAAGAACAUGACCGGAUGAAAAUGCAGGUCCAAACUGAAAAUCGCCUUUGGUCGACAUACGAAAAGAGGCAGAUCAUGAACAACUCCAGAACAGAUAUGGAGACUAAGAGCCUGGCCUUAAGAGCUUUGGAUUCAAAUCAUCUGUUCCCGAGGCAAAUGAUUAGACUUGAGAUUGAGAGUGGAUGUAUGUAACCUAAAACGAGUGGCUGAUAUCAGGUGAACAUGCCGGUGGACUCAAUCUUUUCAACUUCCUCUGAUAUCCACUCAUUGCAGAACUCUUUAGACUAUUGCGACGCUUCACCGGCCGAUUACAACGCAAACAGCCCUAGUAAAUUAGGAACAUCUGCACGCUAAAGAACCAUCCGUAUGUCCCCGUGCUCUGAUCUCAAGACCGCAAGAAAACAGCAAUAGAAAGAAAAUAACGAUGCAAGAAGCCAAGAGUCGAGAGCAUUACCGAACAGAGUGUAGUCGCCAUCUUGAACCACAGGAAGCGAUCCGAAGGGCUACACAGACGCGCGCGCACACACGAGAUCCGAAUCAGCGUCAAUCAGACAAGACUACCCACGAAAGGAGACACAAUGAAAAUUCAAGCGAUCAAGAGUUUGACCGAAAGCGAAGUUGGAGUUUCAAGAACGACCGGGACAGACCUGGAGCUUGAGGUACUCGGGGGCUUUGUGCUCGCCUUUGAGGAGGUCGACGCCGACGGUCUCGAACUCGACGCCCUUCUCGAGCAGGCACACCAGUGCCCGCUUCGGCGACGCGUAGUCAGGUCCGUACACCUUCACCACCAUCGUCACUCUCGCUCUCUCUCUGUGCUUCUCUCUUCCUUCUUGACGGACCUAGUCAGCGACUCUCUCCGCUGUGUCUCCGUGGCGCUAUAAAGAGGUCUCUUUGUUAGAGCAGCAGAAGAAGGUGCACAAGUCAAUGAUGCACCAACCCACAAUUAAUCCAAGGUUAGGUAAUUGGUCCCCAUCAUUAUGAAGUUUCGCAUUUCGCAUUUGCUUCCAUGAGUUUGAAUCCCUCUGUAAGUUCAACUUAUGUGGAAAUACCGCGACUCUUUUGGCUGUGUAUGCUAUCUGGGUAAAGUUGGGAUGGCAAGUAGGGCCUCCUUUGGCUGUCAAGGGAUUUAUUGCCCUAGAUUAAAAAUAUCCCAUAAAAGAGAUGAAAUAAAUAUAGAUAGAAUUUUUUAUAUUUAUGAUAUAAAAAUCAUUUUUGUCUAAUAACAAAUUUCUUCGAAUUUAAAUAAUUAAAUAUAAACAAUAUAUGAGUUCUAAUAUUAAAAGGGAAAUUCAAAAUAACAACGAUUUUCAUUUUAUUUUAUUUUUAUUUAUCCGAAUUUAUUUUCUAUAUAUACAUACUUAGCAUUUAUAUCUAUCACAUAUUUUAGGUAUAUUGGUAUGGUUAAUUUAUUAAGAAAUGAUGGAAAGGAAUUAAAAAAAAAAGGAAACAAAACAAAAGAGUGAAAAUAAUAUAAAAAUAAAUAAAUAAAAUUGAAGUAGGCGAGAGAGUUGAAACACUAAUUAAGAUUCGCGAAGGUAAAUGAUCAUGUUUUCUUUCUCUUAGUAGAUUUGACAAGUGUUGACUAAUCCACCUAUCAAUGUUGUCAUAGCUCAUUUAGGUUUGUCGUCAAAAUCGAAUUCAUGACUUUGAAAUGUUGCAAUGAGCUCAUUUGUUAUUUAAGAUUUGGAUUGUCCAAUAAUUAUGCAUUUAUUUAUGGAUGUUAUCUCUGUCUACUUAUGGUUUCUUUAACAAUUAAUGUAAGAUAUUCUUAACAUCUCCAUUUGUACAUUUUCAUGUUCAUUUAUAUUGAUAUACUAUUCCUAGCAAAUAUUUGACAUGAUAGGAUAUGAAAAUAUUCAGUUUUAUUACAACAAUUCACCACAUAAUAGAUAAGAUUUUGUUAAUUCCAUAUCUUACCAUAUCACAUUCUAUUCAAUCAUAUCGUAAUUAGAAAUCCAAAUGAACAAAUACACCUAAAAUUGUUAAAAUUUGUCAUGCUCCAUGGGACAUUUGUAAUCUUGAAAGAUCUGUCUUUUGUCGAUUUCUUUUGCACUAAAUUGGUGUCGCACCUAUGCUCUACACCUUUGAUUAGUUUCGGCCGAAAGUUUUCAAUAAUUGUCACAAGAUGAAAAGCACCGUGCUCAUUUUUUUCACAUGGCCCACCUGCUUCUGGAAAGGCAAUUACCAAUUUGCUCGAAUAGGGUAGUAGGUGAGAGGUCAAAUUGGCCUAUGUCCGCAAGCCAUAGAUUCUAAUAAUCGGUCUUCUUUUCAAUCUAAAUUAUUCGAGGGAGUAGGAAGAUUUGGCCAACCGAAAAUGCACACUUGAGCUGUCCUUGCAUCAUUAACAAAAUGGUUUUCUUUCUCAACUUCCUUUGCACCUGCAAUUGAGUAAACUAUUGAUCACCUAACCUCCACAGGAGAACAAGCAAGAAAGGGGUAAUCGAUUAUUAUAUGUUCGACGCCAUUAUUCACCCAAAUCAAUCAUCGCGAGUGAGAAUUUAAGAAACCUCAUAACAUUUUUCAUGUGACAACGGAAUUAGAAGAGCAAAAAGCAUCAUUGUUCGGACGAAAUACUGCUAUGAGAAAGACUAUCGGUUCGAGUGUUAGAAGAGAGGUGUUUUUUGGAAGGAUCAUUUAUGUGACUCUCUCUCCUCUGAAACUUUUUCGUAUUUGAUUCGUCAAACCUAAUUGCAAAAGUAAACCGUGAUAAUUUCACCCUGCAAUGCUGGUCAAGUACGCUGCUUUGGUUGGCUUCCUGGCUGCCCACUGAUUAGGGCGAGUCCUGAAAAUUACUGUCUUGGAUUGAAUCAAGCCGAGGAAUGCGGAGAAACCUUAUAACGAAUAUUGAUCUCCUGCUGAUGCUCAGAGGCACACCAUCGUAAAAGACAAAUCGUAAUAUUUGGUCUUUCUUUGUUUUAUUUGGUCAAAAGUGGGCUUUUUCAUAUUUAAAGAAAGGAGAAAAGAAGAGUAAUAAUGGGACAGCCCGCACCGAGAGAGAAAGGAAAAGGAAACGCGAUAGAAAAGGAAGACGAGAGGGAAAAGGUAAAGAGGAAGAACUAGCGCACACACCUUGGAAUUAUCGUCAGGUUGGAUUGACUUCAUUUUUAUGAUCAGAAUUUACGGCAUUUGUUUGUUUAUUCGGAGUAGUUUUCAAAAUCAAGAUACAAAUUCGAAAUCAUGUGAAAUUUAAACUACGAAUUCAGUUUUUGAGUUGUUAGAUGUGGAAUUGCAUGGAAAUCAUGAUUAGGGCGUUAUGGAGUCAUGAAAUAUGAUGGGAAUUCCUUACCAAAAUUAUUUGAAGUAACUUUUAAAUCAUAUUUGAUGGGAUUUAUUUGAAGUAACUUUUUAGUCGAAGUGAACUUUAGAAAUUUCUACAGAGCUCUACAUUGUGAUUAGCUUUGAUUCAUCGCAAUGGGCGAGCGAUUUGUUGUGCAUGGGUGUAAUUUUGUUAGGGAUUAAACUUAGUUCAGCCAAUUCGUGGUUGAGAUAGUGUUUUACUUGAUUUUGAUGUAAAUUCUAAUUUAAUUUAUAAAAUUACAAGAUCGUCAGCUCUUUUGAUUUUGGGUAUUUUCAAGUGAAUGAUACUAUCCCUUUUUUGAAUUUCUAAACUCAUAUGUUGAAAAUGAAAGGGAUUAGACAUAUUAUGUGUAAAGUAUGAUUUAAUUAAAUGGCAGAAAUGAUGUUCAUUGCAUAUUUGAUACAUAAAAUUUGAAUCGGGUAUUUAUUGCCCUUUUGAUUAUUUGAAAUAGCGUGGAAAGCAUUUUUGGAAACAAUUUACGAGUUGAUUAUUAUGAAAUAAUUUGGGAAGUGCUUUAUUGCAUAAAAGUUAUAUGUAUUGAUUUGUGAAAUUGAUUUAUAAAGGUAUUAUAUUGCAAAAGGAUAUAUGUUUGAUAUUAUGAAAACCAUUUAUGAUAUCGAUUCUGGAUUAGUUUUGAGGAAGAAAUUGAUUUUUGAAAGGAUAUAUGUUUUGGUUUGUGUCAAAGUAUUUUGAUUAUGGGAUGGAUCUGGGUUUGGUAUUGUGGAUUAUUAGAAUAUGAUGGUUUGAUUCUUAUUAUUGUUGCAAACUUAGUUAGGAGUUUUUAAGGCUUAAGGAUAUUAUUAUGGGUCAAACCACUAGCUGCUAAUAGGCGGAGACAUUGCCUUGGUCCUCUUUCACCAAUCGUGAUUAUGGUUGAAUAUUAAGCAUAAAAUGAAUCAGUGAAAUAGCUUAUUGAUGUGUGGAGCGAGUUUCAAGAACAGAGACAGGCCUGAACUUGAGGAAUUCAGGGGCUCUGUUCUCGUCCUUGAAGAUAUUGAUGGGAACGGUCUCGAACUCGACGCCUUCUCGACCAGGCACACCAGCACUCGCUUCGGAUUUGCAUAAUCAGGCCCGUACACCUUCACCACCAUUUUUUCUCUCUUCUUCUCUCUUGUCGACGGACCAGUUGAUUUCCAAAUAUCUUUCAGGAUCGACUCUCUCCUUCUGCAUCUGGGUUUUUAAAGGAAGCCCUUUUCAGAGGAUUAAACCAUGUUGCACACGACACCGUCAUGCACCAACAUACUGCUCGCGACCCGAUUCCUUUGGGGAUCCAAGGUUAGAUAAUCGGUCAACGUUGGUAUGCUACUAAUUACCUUUGUCGAAUUUUACUUCGCAUAUGCCUUGGAAGGCUUUGCAACAUUUCCUCUGACUUAUCUUUCAUAGAUUCUUCUCUGGCAAUGCGCAUGCUAUGACAUAUUUGGACGGUAGACUUGAAAUUCAUUAUGCUCGCACAAAUUUCCGCAGAGAAAACGACAGUCUUUAAAACUUUAGCCUAAGUACAACGUCAUCUUUGACUUUUAUUAAUUUAGUGAAUUCCUUGAAUUUCUAAUGUCCAAUCUAAUCCUUAAACCCUUUCGCAUUUUCCCAAUUAAGUCCAUCUAGCCAAUUUUAGCUAAAAAUCACUAAACUAGACAUUAACUAUAUUAGGUAGUACAGGUGACAUUGACGUAAAUAAUUUUUUAAUUUUUUUUAACAUUUUUAAUGAACUUUUUAUUUUUUAUUUUUCUUUUCUUUUUCUAAUCCUAGGCCGGCAACCCUCGCCUUGUCUAGGCUAGGGGCCCUCGAGCUGCGGUGGUUGUUUUUGUAGCAAUGGUCUCCCUCCUCCUUUGAGGAGUUUGUGUUCUGAUCUUCAUGCCGUGCUUGUCUCUUGUUAGCUUGGCUUCCUUUUUCUGGUUGCCUUGUGUUGUUGAUUUUACAUCUCGGCAUCCGUCCACUCAUUAUGUCCUCUCAUCUUGAGUGUAUGUUUUCGAUGCCGUAACCUUUUGUACAUUUGGCAUUUCCCUAUAUAUUUAUUACCUCUUACCAAAAAAAAAAAAAAAAAAAAAACAGGUGAAGGAUGCCCUCGCCUUACCCAAGCCAAGCAAGGUUGUCACAGCCCUAGCCUAAAUCUAGGCAAAGGCCAACCCUCUCACUUGUGGCCUGCAACUUAAGUAACAUCGAUCAGUAUGUGACAUGCAACACAACAUAAGACAACGUGCGAUAUGGCACAACACGAUACGUUGACACAUUAAUUCUCGAAAAAUAGAGAAUUCCAACACGUUAGGAUGCAUUGUAUAUUAAAUAUAUAUAUUUUAUAUAUACAUGAUAAAUUAUCAUUUUUAUGAUUAUUUUAAUAAAUUUAAUUUGAUUUAGAUUCGGAAUAAAUAAAUAAUAAAAAAGAGCCUAGAAUGAAUUUACACUAAAAACAUUAAUUUACCGUUUGUUGAUAUGAUUCAUUGUUUCAAUUUAACAAAUCUAACUAUAUUCCGUUCAAAUAAUCUAUAAAACUUGAAGGAAAAAAAAAUCACAUUCCAUUAUUAAAUUUAACAUUUAACAAGAAAUCGAAAAAAAAAAACAAUUCACAUUUCACCAUCAAAUAUAACAAGAAGUCGUUAUUUCCCCCUUUAUUUAUUUUUAUUUUUAUUUUAUUUUUUACAUAUUUAUAUUUUGACUCCUCGUUUAGUGAAACUUUUUAAAAUUAACCUAAUGUGUAUCAAAAUCACUUGUCAGAAUUAUAGACUCACAUGUCGGAUCAUGUCGGGCCGUAUGUCGGAUUUUCCGACACCUGUUGACUACAUAUCAGAAUGUGUGGGAGCGUGUCGAAGUGUUUGACACAACACGAAAGAUCUUGGAAAAUGAACUAGGGUUAGGAAAAAAAAUAAAGAAAAGGAAAAACAAACAAAUAAAUAAAAUUAAAAUAUUCAAAUAUUAUUAAAAAUUGUGUAUGUUAGCGCUAGUCGUUGCCAGCCAUAUCACAUACAAUGUCUGAUCCACAUUAGUAAUUUUAUGUCAACAUUGGUUGAAGGAACUCAAUUGGCAAAAGUCGAAGAUGUUUAGACUCAAUUAACAAAAUUGAAAAGUUUAUGACUAAAUUGGCAAAAUUACUAUAGAUUUAUGACUUUUUGGAUAAUUUUUCCUCUUCCCUUGCAUGCAAUGCGGACUGAACUUAUCUCCUAGAGUGAGUCUUAACAGCUCAUCUAACACCAGUUCAGUGAGCGCUGGACAUGUGAACGAACAUUUAUGAAGUUGCUCUUUCCAAGUUGUAAAAUAUCCACGAAAGUUGGUUAGUAGGUGGUUAAUUUUUAAUUUCACCAAAGUCACUGGCAUUGUACUAAUUAGCCGCGUACAUAGCCCGACAAAACACGACACCGCCAUGAAUAAUACAACACCAAAGAGGUCCACAGCAGGAUCAUUUACUGGAGAAAUCCCACUUUUACACAUGACCUUCACAAACCAGACUCAACAAAAGCUUAUUUGAUAGUCCAAAUCUGCCGAUUCAGAUCGAGUAGAAACAUACUAAGUAGGCACAAAGAGACUCGCUAUCCUUCACAUAGACCAAGGACUCGGGUGCACCCGGCAUACCUGAUAAAACAGUCCUAAUACUGACCGGGCCAGAGCUCAAGGACCUUCUUCCAAGAAGGCCUGCUCGAGAUAUCAUCCCACCAACCGCUCACAUGCUUCCGGUCCCUUAUCAGGUACUCCUUCCGCAUCUUGCCCAUCAAGUACUGGGUGAACGGAAGGUGGCUCAGGUCCGCAAGGCUGAAGAAAUCCCCUGCUAGGUACUUGCUCUUUGACAGCCUCUCCUCGUAGAUAUCCAGAACCCGACAGAGCUUGUCCUCGCUCUCUUUGAGCUGCUUCGGAUCCGGGGUAAGCCCAAUAAGCGGGCCGUAAACAAGAUUGUGGACAAGGUCGUAGAUUGGCGGAUGGAAGUUGUGGGCCUCGACUUCGAGCCACUGCUCAACGAGCCCCCUCUCCUCGAUUGUCUUCCCCAGCAGUUCAGUCCCUUGGUGCUUGUAUUUCUCGGCAUAAUACCUUAUGAUGGCCCGCGAAUCUGUAUGAAUUAGACAGGAUAUAUCACAGAGAGUAGACAGACAAAUCUUUAUCCCCACAUAUGAAAAGCAACAAAAAACCAGAAUGAAACCUAAAAGAGGCAUGCACUCUGCUUUUGAAUUUACCAGCAGUCUUUACUCUCAUGACAUUAGACCCACGGUAUAAGUGUAGAUGCAGCAGGACAUUUCAAUGUCUAUGCACUGAUCAUUCUGCUUAAACUCCAAUCAAGAACAUAACCGGAUGAAAAUGCAGGUCCAAACGGAAAAUCAGCGGCCUUUGGUCGACAUAUGAAAAGAGACAGAUCAUGAACAACUCCAGAACGGAUAUGGACACUACGAGCCUGGCCUUAAGAGCUUCGGAUUCAAAUCAUCUGUUCCUCAGGCAAAUGAUUUGACUUGAGAUUGAGAGUGGAUGUAUGUAACCUAAAAUGAGUGGCUGAUAUCAAGUGAACAUGCCGGAGGACUCAAAUCUUUUCAACUUCCUCUGAUAUCCACUCGUUGUAGAACUCUUUAGACUAUUGCGACGCUUCACUGGCCGAUUACAACGCAAACAGCCCUAGUAAAUUAGGAACAUCUGCAUGCUAAAGAACCAUCCGUAUGUCCCCGUGCUCUGAUCUCAAGACCGCAAGAAAACAGCAAUAGAAAGAAAAGAACGAUGCAAGAAGCCAAGAGUCGAGAGCAUUACCGAACAGAGCGUAGUCGCCAUCUUGAACCACAGGAACCGAUCCGAAGGGCUACACAGGCGCGCACACACGAGAUCCGAAUCAGCGUCAAUCAGACAAGACACACUUUGAAUGCCAAGUACCCACGAAAGGAGACAUAAUGAAAAGUCAAGCUGUCAAGAGUUUGACCGAAAGAGAAGUUGGAGUUUCAAGAACGACCGGGACAGACCUGGAGCUUGAGGUACUCCGGGGCUUUGUGCUCGCCUUUGAAGAGGUCAACGAUGACGGUCUCGAACUCGACAUCCUUCUCGAUCAGGCACACGAGCACCCGCUUCGGCGACGCGUAGUCAGGGCCGUACACCUUCACCACCAUCCUCACUCUCGCUCCCUCACUCUCUCUCUCUCUGCUUCUUUCUUCCUUCUUGACGGACCUGGUCAGCGACUCUUUCCGCUGUGUCUCCCGGGUUUUAUAAAGAAGUCUCUUUGUUAGAGCAGCAGACAGAAGCUGCACACGUCAAUGAUGUACCAACCCACCACCAAUCCAAGGUUAGUUAAUUGGUUCCCAUCACUAAAGAGUUUUGCAUUUUGCAUUUACUUCCAUGAGUUUGAAUCCCUCUGCAAGUUAAGACUUAUGUGGAAAUACUGCGACUCUUUGGCCGUGUAUGCUCUCUGAGUAAAGUUGGGAUGGCAAGUAGGGCCUCCUUUGCCUGUCCAGGGAUGUAUUGCCCUAGAUUAAAAAUAUCCCAUUAAAGAGAUUAGAUAAAUAUAGAUAGAAUUUAUUAAAUUUAUGAUACAAAAACUAUUUUUAUCGAAUAACAAAUUUCUUCGAAUUUAAAUAAUUAAAUAUAAACAAUAUAUGAGUGCUAAUAUUAAAAGGGAAAUUCAAAAUAACAAUGAUUUUGGUUUCACUUUUAUUUAUUUAUCUAUCACAUAUUUUAGGUAUAUUGGUAUGGUUAAUUUAUUAAGAAAUGAUGGAAAGGAAUGAAAAAAGAAACAAAAAAAGAGAGUGAAAAUAAUAUAAAAAUAAGUAAAUAAAAUUGAAGUAGGCGAGGGAGUCAAAACACUAAUUAAGAUUCGCAAAGGUAAAUGAUCAUAUUUUCUUUCUCUUAGUAGAUUUGACGAGCGUUGACUAAUCUACCUAUCAAUGUUGUCAUAGCUCAUUCACAUUUGUCGUCAAAGUCAAACUCAUGACUCUGAAAUGUUGCAAUGAGCUCAUUUAUUGUUUAAGAUUUGGAUCGUCCAAUAAUUAUGGAUUUAUUUAUGGAUGUUAUCUCUGUCUACUUAAGGUUUCUUCAGCAAUUAACUAUAAGAUGUUCUUAACAUCUCCCUUUGUACAUUUUCAUAUUCAUUUAUAUUGAUAUACUAUUCAUACCAAAUAUUAGACAUGAUAGAAUAUGAAAAUAUUUGGUUCUAUUACUGUAAUUUACCACGUAAUAGACAAGAUUUUGUUAAUUUCAUAUCCUACUAUAUCAUAUUAUAUUCAGUCUUAUCUUAACUAGAAAUCCAAAUGAACAAAGAUAGCCUAAAAUUGUUAAAAUCCAUCAUGCUCCAUGGGACAUUUGUAAUCCUGAAGAUCUGUCUUUUGUCGAUUUCUUUCGAACUAAAUUGGCGUCACACCUAUACUCUACACCUUUGAUUAGUUUCGGCCGAAAGUUUUCAAUAAUCGUCACCAGACAUGGCGAAAAGCACUGUGCUUAUUUUUUCACAUGGCCCGCCUGCUUGUAGAUAGGCAAUUACCAAUUUGCUCGAAUUGGGUAGUAGGUGACGGGUCAAAUUGGCCUAUGUCCGCAAGCCAUAGAUUCUAAUAAUCGGUCUUCUUUUUAAUCUAAAUUAUUCAGGGGAGUAGGAAGAUUUGGCCAAUCAAAAAUGCACACUUGACCUGUCCUUGCACCAUAUACAAAAUGGUUUUCUUUGUCGACUUCCUUUGCACUUGCAAUUGAGUAAACUAUUGAUCACCUAACCUCCACAAGGAAGAAAGGGGUAAUAGACUAUUAUAUGUCCGAUGCCAUUAUUCACCCAAAUCAAUCUUUGCGCGUGGGAAUAUAAGAAACCUCAUAACAUUUUCCAUGCAACAACGGAAUUAGAAGAGCAAAAAGCACCAUCGCUCAGACAAAAUACUGCGAUGGGAAAUACUAUCGGUUCGAGUGGUAGAAGGAGGUGUUUUUGGGAAGGAUCAUUUAUGUGACUCUCUCUCCUCCGAAACUUUUUCAUAUUUGAUUAGUCAAACCUAAUUGCGAAAGUAAACCGUGAUGAUCUCACCCUGCAAUGCUGGUCAAGUACGCUGCUUUGGUUGACUUCCUGGCUGCCCACUGAUGAGGGCGGGUCCUGAAAAUUGCUGUCUCGGAUUGAAUCGAGCUGAGGAAUGUGGAGAAACCUUAUAACGAAUAUUGAUCCAGCUGAUGCUCGGAGGCACACCAUCGUAAAAGACAAAAUGUAAUAUUUGGUCUUUCUUUGUUAUAUUUGGUCAAAAGUGGGCUUUUCAUAUUUAAAGAAAGGAAAAAAUAAGAGUAAUGAUGGGACAGCCCGCACCGAGAGUGAAAGGAAACGGGAAAGAAAAGGAAGACGAAAGAGAAAAAGUAGAGAGGAAGAACUAGCGCACACACCUUGGAAUUCUCGUCGAGUUGGAUCAACUUCAUUUUUAUGAUAAAAAUUUACGGCAUUUGUUUGUUUAUUUGGAGUAGUUUUCAACAUCAGGAUACAAAUUCGAAAUUAUGUGAAAUUUAAACUACAAAUUCAAUUUUAAGAUGUGAUAUUACAUGGAAAUCAUAAUUAGGGCAUUAUGGAGUUAUGGAAAAAGAUUUGAAGUAACUUUUUGGUCAAUGUGAAAUUUUAGAGAUUUCUGCAUGAGCUCUACAUUAUGAUUUAAUUAAAUGGCAGAAAUAAUGUUCAUUGCUUAUUUGAUACAUAAAAUUUGAAUCGGGUAUUUAUUGCCCUUUUGUUUAUUUGAAAUAGCGUGGAAAGCAUUUUUGGAAACAAUUUACUAUUAUUGUGAAAUAAUUUGGGAAAUGCUUUAUUGCAUAAAAGCUAUAUGUAUUGAUUUGUGAAUUUGAUUUAUAAAGAUAUUAUAUUGCGAAAGGAUAUAUGUUUGAUAUUAUGAAAACUUUAUGAUAUCGAUUCUGAAUUGGUUUUGAGGAAGAAAUUGAUUUUUGAAAGAAUAUAUGUUUUUUGUUUGGUCGGUCAAAGGAUAUAUGUUUUGGUUUGUGUCAAAGUAUUUUGAUUAUGAGAUGGAUUUGGGUUUGGUAUUGUGGAUUAUUAGAAUAUGACGAUUUGAUAAUUAAUAUUGUUGCGAACUUAGUUAGGAGUUUUUAAAGCUUAAGGAUAUUGUUAUAGGCCAAACCACUAGCUGCUAACAAGCAGAGACAUUGCCUUGGUCAUGUUUCACUAGACAUUGUGUCGUGAUUAUGGUUGAAUAUUAAGCAUAAAAUGAAUCAAUGAAAUAAAUCAUUGAUGUAUGGUGUGAAAUUAAUCAUUGGUCAAUGAAAUAGAUCAUCGAUAUGUGAAUUGAUGAGAUUGAUCAAUAUAUUGGACCAUUGAUAUCUACUUUAAUAUUAUCGAUGAAAAGAGUAUUUCUUAUAUGUAUAAAGUUUUGUUCAAAAGAUAAAACUUGUUUUUGAUUUCAUACAUAUGCAAUACUGUGGAUUUGAAUUAGAUGAGUUUUGAUUUUGUACUGUAAACAUGCACAGUAUAUGCUCAAUCUGCUUAGAAGAGAUAUGCACUUCUUAUCGAGCUAUAGUUGCUUAUUUUCAACUUCUUUAGUUAUUGACAAGCAAGAACAGAGCGCUAAUGGCAAGGAGCUUUCGCUAGUUGUGUUUUGGAUAUGAGUUGAGAUAGUACGAUAUACUUAUAUUUUAAUAUCAAGUUUGGGAUUGAGAAUGCGUUCUCCAAGUAGAAGGGCAGCAGUAUCGUUUCCCCAUUUCCAUAGAAUUCAGGAUGUGGCACGCGCCUCGUAUGGAUCAAACUUUUCGAGUCAUGUCCGUGUGGACUUGUUGUAGGGGUCAAGGUCACCGCUACACUAACCGACCAGACUAUGAAGGGGUGCAAUUUUGGCCAGUUGCGAUCGACUUGCACGAUACCAAUUUUUUUUCCUUUGACAACGAAACGUCAUUCUAGUCACUUUCCGAGGGAGUCAGGUGGUGAAAGCCCAAUUCGGAAACUCAAUAGCGGAGUCAUGCGACGUGUUCGACAAGAGGAGGGAUCUUGAUGCUGCGUAAUGGCUUGCUGUACAACUUCAAUUGCUUUGUGAUGUUUUUCAACUCUAAAUCACCACAAAACACUGUAACUUUUAAAAGGAAUUCGGUUCCUGUUACAACCUGUGAGUCUGUGACCUGUCAUCAUAAUGGCAUAAGAUAUUUAUAACUUAAAUCGAAAUUCGGGUGAAAUUGCACUCGAUGACUCCAGAAAAUCAUAGUUGAAGAUUGCUAUCCAUGACGGCAGGAGUGCAACCCGAUGACUUGAGAAAUAUGACUUGAGUGCUAGCAAGCAGAAAGCCAGAGCAGCAACCAAAGCAGUAGGAAAAAAAAAAAAACAAUGUCGGUACAAGAUUUUCUUCUAGCAGCCCCUACACCAUUUACAUGGUCAUGGAGUAAAAUAUAUUUUAAGGAUGCAUUUGUUUCGCGAAAAAUAAAUUAAAAUAAAUCACUAAAAAAUUAUUUUUUCUAUUGUUUACAAAAAUAUAUAAUAAAAAUAUUUUCAUCAUACACGAAAAAAUGUUUAGACAUUAUGGGUCCGUUCGUUUCGUGAAAAACAACUUCUGGGAAAACAUUUUCUGGAAUUUCUGGUGUUUGGAUGAUGAAAAAUAGAUGGUCAAAGAAAAUAUUUUCCGGCCAAUGGAAAAUCUUCUUGUAAGAUUGUGGAAAAUGAUUUCCUUUUUUGAGAAGAGAAAAAAAAUUUCCAUAACUUCUUCCACCUUCUUUCUUUUCACCAACACAUUUAUGCUUUCUUUUUCUUUUUUGUUUUUUUUUAAAUCGAGUUUUUAAUUUUUCCUUUUCUUUUUUUCCAUUUCAUCUUCUUCCUUGGUGGCCGGCGACUAGCCACAAGCCAGCUCGAGCCUCGCCCUAGGCUAGCGAGGCUCCGCCUAGCUUGAUCUGGCGAAGCCGAGCUCGCCCGAACCCAGUGAGCUCUGGCCUCACCAGAUCGAGCGAGGCAAAGCACCGCCGGCCUGGGGCAGAGCUCGGGCCUAGCUAGAUCCGGCAAGCUGGGCGAGGCUUGGGCCUCGCCUGAGCUUGACAGAGGUUCGCUAGGCUCUGGCGAGCCACGAGCUCGCCGAAUUUGGCAGAGGAGAUCAAGCUCCCGAUCCAGGCGAGCCCGAGCUUUGCCGCCAAUUCGGGCAAGCUCGCGGCUCACCAGAGCCCGGCGAAACUCUGGUGAGAUCGGCCGAGCCUCGAGCUCGCUGGAUCUGGCGAUUGGGUCUUGGUCAGUCGCCAGACAGCCGACCAUCGUCAGGCAUGCGGCGAUGGAGGAAGGAGGCGGUGGCGGAGGAAGGAGAAGUCGGGAGGAAGAAGGAGGAAGGAAAAGAAAAGGAAAGAAAUAAUAAAAAAAACAAUUUUUUAAGAAUACAAAUAAUUAAAAACUCAUUUUUUAAAAAAAUAUAAAAAAAUAAAACUAAUUUUUUGGUCAAUUAGAAAUAUUAAAAUUCAAUUUUUGAUAAUUCUUCCCAAACAAUUAAAUUAACUAAUAACCGGUAGAAAAUAUUUUCCACUCGAAAUUUAGAUUAAGGCCAAACACUGGAAAAUAGAGUCAUUUUCCUGGAAAAUGACUUCUAGGAAAAUGUUUUCCAGAAAUAUAAUAUUUUUUGCGAAAUGAACGGACCCUAUAAUGAAAACAUUUUGUAUUGAAUAAUUAUUUCAAGCAAUACAAACGAUUUUUUUAGAAAAAUAUUUUCUAAAUUAUUCAUUUUAUAUUAAACAAAUGGAGCCUAAGUUUCUACUUUAUGAAUGAAAGGAAUAUAUUGACAUAUGGGCUUUCAAGAAAAGAAAUGUCUGGCAUUAGAAUCAUUUAAAAAUGGAUACUUUUUUUUUUAGAAGAGAAGUCCAAUUAACUCAACGAAUUAACAAUUUUUCUAACAAGGAUAUUAAAUGAGUCGCCCAACAUUGACAAUCAUAAUUCUUCAGGUAAAUAUGUGCCUAAUGUAAUAUACUUUUUAUUAACUUGUCACAUUUUAUAUCAUUGUCACGUCAUGUAACAACCACUAUAUGAUGUUUCAGAUCUAGCAGAGAGCACAUUAUUCUAGACCAGAGAAGGAUACAACAUCAAAAAAGGCCUUAUAGAGGAUAAUUUCACUGGAGUGAUCCCACUUGACACAAUAUCUUUCACAAACUAGACUCGACAAAGCUUAUUAGAUCCCCUGAAUCCGUCGAUUGAGAUCGAGCGGUAACGUACUAAUUAGGCACGGGGAGACUCGAUGGUUCACGGAAAGCGACUACUCCUUCUCACAGACCAAGGACUCGGGUGCAUCCGACGGACCUAAUAAAGACGGUCCUAAUACAGACCGGGCCAGAGCUCGACGACCUUCUUCCAAGAAGGCCUGCUCGAGAUGUCAUCCCACCACGCACUCACAUGCUUCCGGUCCCUUAUCAGGUACUCCUUCCCCAUUUUUCCCAUCAGGUACUGCGUUAACGAGAGGUGGCUCAGGUCGGCGAGGCUGAACAAAUCCCCCGCCAGGUACUUGCUCUUCGACAGCCUCUCCUCGUAGAUGUCUAGCACCUUACAGAGCUUGUCCUCGCUCUCUUUGAUCAGCUUCGGAUCCGGGGUAAGUCCCCUAAUCGGGUCAAAAACAAUUUUGUAGAUGAGGUCAGUGAUGGGCGGGCUGUAGCACUGGGCCUCGACUUCGAGCCACUGCUCGACGAGCCCCGUCUCCUCUAUCGUCUUUCCCAGCAGGUCGGUCCCUUGGUGCUUGUAUUUCUGGGCAUAAUACCUUGCGAUGGCCCGCGAUUCUGCAUGAACAAAAUAGGAUCCAUUACAGAGAGACAAAUCUUUACCCCCCCGCAUGAAAUUGACCAUAAUCUAGAACGCAACCUAAAAGAGACCAGCGCUAAGAUUUUGAAUUUACAAGCAGUCAGUCUCACAACGCUAGACCAACAGUAACAGUGCAGAAUCAGUGGGAUGUUUUUAUGACUAUGAAUUGAUCAUUCUGCCUCGACAUCGAUCAGGAAAGUAAUUGGACAAAAAUGCAGGUUCAAACAGAUAAUCGACGGCCUUCGGCCAACAUAGGAAACGGUAGUUUUCGAAGCUACUCUUUACUCUUCCUUGGAUACUCCCCAGAUAGCCAGCUGACGAGUCUGGCCUCUUUUCCUUAAACCUGAGCAAUCCUGACUGAUGGGGAAAAUACUCGAAAGACUCGCAUCUCACCGCUGAAACGCACGCCCAAUCCUUCCCAAUUCAGACUAUUUCGCCAUGGAGCUUUGAUUUAAAUCAUCCAUUGCCUAGGCAAAUGUUUCGACUUGAGAUUGAUCAGACUCUUAAAAAGUUCAAAUUAUAAAGACGACAACCUUAACUUUAACCUAACAAAUGCCGGAAGGUGCUGAGUUCCGAGCACAAAUCCUCCGCCCCUAAUGCAUUUUGAUUACACCAGCAUUUUUUUUCUUUUUUUUUUAGAGAGGAUAAAAGAACACUCGAAAGUUAUUGUCAAAGCACGCAAGUGAUUAAAGGAGUCGCAAAGCUAAAUCACCGGACGUCCAUGAGCUAAAACGAGCUGCUAAUAUCAACUGAAUAUUAUGUCGACAGAACUUGGGCUUCUCAACUUCCUGUGGUAUCUAUUCAUUGCAGAGCUUCUUAGACUUUAAACACCAAACCUUAACCCGACAAAUUACACAAGCGACAGCAUGCUGAAGAACCAUCCGUGCUUCCACAUGUUUCGGUCCAAGCGUCGGAGUGCGAUGUGAAAAUCCAAAAGUCGAGAGCAUUACCAAACAAAGUAUAGUCUCCAUCUUGAAUCACAGGAACCGAUCCGAAGGGCUGCAGGCACGCACACACAUGAUCCGAAUCAGAAACAUUCAGAUAAAGUACCUCAAUGCUAAGUACCCACAAAGAAAAUGUAAACUCCAGUUGGAUCCAAAGAGACGCGAGUUUCAAGAACAGAGACAGGCCUGGAGCUUGAGGAAUUCAGGGGAUCUGUUCUCGUCCUUGAAGAUAUCGAUGGGAACGGUCUCGAACUCGACGCCCUUCUCGAUCAGGCACACCAGCACUCGCUUCGGAUUUGCAUAAUCAGGCCCGUACACCUUCACCACCAUUUUUUCUCUCUUCUUCUCUCUUGUCGACGGACCAGUUGAUUUCCAAAUAUCUUUCAGGAUCGACUCUCCUUCUGCGUCUGGGUUUAUAAAGGAAGCUCUUAUCAGACGAUUAAACCAAGUCGCACACGAUACCGUCAUGCACCAACUUACUGUUCGCGACCAGAUUCCUUUGGAGAUCCAAGGUUAGAUAAUCGGUCAAUGUUGGUAUGCUACUAAUUACCUUCGUCGAAUUUGACUUCGCAUAUGCCUCGGAAGGGUUUGCAACAUUUCCUCUGACUUAUCUUUGAUAGAUUGUUCUCUGGCAAUGCGCACGCUAUCUGACAUAUUUGGACGGUAGACUUGAAAUUCAUUAUGCUCGCAUAAAUUUCCUCGGAGAAAAUGACAGUCUUUAAAACUUUAGCCUAAGUGCAACGUUGUCUUUGACUUUUAUUAAUUUAAUGAAUUCCUUGAAUUUUCUAAUGUUCAAUCUAAUCCUUAAAUCCUUCUGCAUUUUGCCAAUUAAAUUCAUCUAGCUGAUUUUAGCUAAAGAUCAUUGAACUAGACAUUAACUUUAUUUGGUAGUAUAAGUGACAUUGAUGUAAACAAUUUUUUAAUAAUUUUAAAUUUUUAAUAAUUUUUUUCUUUUUUCUUUUUUCUUUUUCUAAUCCUAGGUCGACAACCCUCACUUCAUCUAGGCUAGGGGCCCUCACCCAAAACCAGGUGAGGGAUGCCCUCGCCUUACCCAAGCCAAGCAAGGGUGUCACAGCCCUCGCCUAAAUCUAGGCAAAGGCCAACCCUCUCACUUGUGGUCUGCAACUCAAGUAACACUGAUACCAGUAUAUGACAUGCAACACGACAUAAGAUGACAUAAGAUAACAUGCGAUAUGACACAAUAUAACACGUCAACAUGUUUUUUCUAAAACAAUAGAGAAUUCCGAUACGUUAGGACGCAUUAUAUAUUAAAUAUAUAUUUUUAUAUAUACAUGAUAAAUUAUCAUUUUUAUGAUUAUUUUAAUAAAAUUAAUUUGAUUUAGAUUCACAAAUAAAUAAAUAAUAAAAAAGAGCAUAGAAUGAAUUUACACUAAAAACAUUAAUUUAUCAUUUGUUGAUAUGAUUCAUUGUUUCAAUUUAACAAAUCCAGCUAUAUUCCGUUCAAAUAAUCUUUAAAACUUGAAGGAAAAAAAUCAAUUCACAUUCCACUAUUAAAUUAACAUUUAACAAGAAGUCAAAAAAAAAAAAAAAAACAAUCCACAUUUCACCAUCAAAUAUAACAAUAAGUCUUUAUUUCUCCCUUUUAUUUUUUUUAUUUUUUAUUUUUUUUUACAUAUUUAUAUUUUGACUCCUCUUUUAGUGAAACUUUUCAAAAUUAACCUAAUGUGUGUCGAAAUCACAUGUUGAAAUUAUAAACUCACAUGUUGGAUCCUGUUGCGCUGGAUGUCGGAUUUUCUAACACCUGUUGACUACGUGUGGAAAUGUGUCGGAGCGUGUCAAAGUGUUUGACACAACACGAAAGAUCUUGGAAAAUGUCAAUGCUUCCUAGCCUGCAACUAGGGUUAGGAAAAAAAAUAAAGGAAAGGAAAAACAAACAAACAAAUAAAUAAAUAAUAUUUAAAUAUUAUUAAAAAUUGUGUAUGUUAGCGUUAGUCGUCGCCGGCCGUAUCACAUACAACAUCUAACAUCCACAUUAGUAAUUUCAUGUCAAAAUUGGUCGAAGGAACUCAAUUGGAAAAAGUCAAAGAUAUUUAAACUCAAUUAACAAAAUUAAAAAGUUUAUGACUAAAUUGGCAAAAUUACAAUAGAUUUAGAAAUUUUUGGAUAAUUUUUCCUCUUCCCUCGCAUGCAAUGCAGACUUAUCUCCUAGAAUGAGUGUUAACAGCUCAUCAAACACCAGUUCAGUGAGUGCUGGACAUGUGAACGAACAUUUAUGAAGUUGCUCUUUCCAAGUUGUAAAAGAUCCAUAAAAGUUGGUUAGUAGGUGGUUAAAUUUUAAUUUCACCAAAGUCACUGGCAUAGUACUAAUUAGCCGCGUACAUAGCCCGACAAAACACGACACCGCCAGGAAUAAUACAACACCAAAGAGGUCCACGACGCAAACAGCCCUAGUAAAUUAGGAACAUCUGCAUGCUAAAGAACCAUCCGUCUGUCCCCGUGCUCUGAUCUCAAGACCGCAAGAAAACAGCAAUAGAAAGAAAAGAACGAUGCAAGAAGCCAAGAGUCGAGAGCAUUACCGAACAGAGUGUAGUCGCCAUCUUGAACCACAGGAAGCGAUCCGAAGGGCUAGACAGGCGCGCCCGCACGAGAUCCGAAUCAGCGUCAAUAAGACAAGACACACUUCAAAUGCCAAGUACCCACGAAAGGAGACACGAUGAAAAGUCAAGCUGUCGAGAGUUUGACCGAAAGUGAAGUCGGACUUUCAAGAACGAACGGGACAGACCUGGAGCUUGAGGUACUCGGGGGCUUUGUGCUCGCCUUUGAAGAGGUCGACGCCGACGGUCUCGAACUCGACGCCCUUCUCGAUCAGGCACACCAGCGCCCGCUUCGGCGACGCAUAGUCAGGCCCGUACACCUUCACCACCAUCUUCACUCUCGCUC